AUACGUAGGGGGCAAGCGUUAUCCGGAUUUACUGGGUGUAAAGGGAGCGCAGACGGCUAUGUAAGUCUGAAGUGAAAGCCCGCGGCUCAACCGCGGGACUGCUUUGGAAACUAUGUAGCUUGAGUGUCGGAGAGGUAAGCGGAAUUCCAAGUGUAGCGGUGAAAUGCGUAGAUAUUUGGAAGAACACCGGUGGCGAAGGCGGCUUACUGGACGAUAACUGGCGUUGAGGCUCGAAGGCGUUGGGAGCAAACAGGAUGAGAUACCCUGGUAGUCCACGCGGUAAACGAUGAAUACUAGGUGUCGGUGCCCAAAGGGUAUCGGUGCCGUCGCAAACGCAGUAAGUAUUCCACCUGGGGAGUACGUUCGCAAGAAUGAAACUCAAAGGAAUUGGCGGGG
rnacentral:rRNA from 1 species